UAUGCAUUAAUUCAGUGGUAUACGGUGAAAAAUCCGUUUUACGGAGUAUUGAAAUCGACCCUCAUAGUCAAUUAGUCACAGGCUCACAACUUUCUUCCUCCCUCGUACUUCUCCAUCCCUCAAUCUUUUAUUUUUGGUUUUAUUUCUUCUUUUUCCUCCUCCCAUUCGCUCAAUCAACCGCUCUCUCCUCUCUCCUCUCUCCCCCCUAUCUCUCUCUUCAUUGAAAGUGCAGCCGCAACUGCAACCACAUCCACAACUAUAAAAAAUGGCGGAAGAUCAUGAACUAGAGGAGAGAAAAGCUGGAAUUGUGGUGGUGUUCGAUACUCUGAUUAUGAGCUCAAUUUCGCCUAUCAAGCCCUAAUUUAUCUCAUGAAACUACAGCACUCUCAGGGUUUCAAGCCCAACAAAUUAUCCGUACAGAUAACGCAAGUGUGAAAAUUGAGAGAAUGGUAGGGAGCAUAAGUUUACAGUCACGGCUACUCUCCUCUUUUGUGGGCAGCGACCGUUUGAUCCACCCUUCGCAACACUUUCUUUCGCUCUUGUCCAGGCUGCUAACUACCUGAACAUCAAGAGUUUGUUGUUUCUAAUGCCUGCUGCUGCCACUGCUAACUGCUACUACUGUUGUUUGCUGCUACUACUAUCUGCUACUACUGCUGUUUGCUGCUACUGCCGUCUGCUGGGUGGCCUUGUUGUUUGCUGCUACUGCCGUCUGCUGGGUGGCCUGGUACUGCUGACUGCUGAUACUCCAAGCUACUGUCAUUUGUUGUUACUACUAGCUGCUGUUACUACCGCUGUCUGCUGGAUGGCCUGGUACUGCUGACUGCUGAUACUCCAAGCUGCUGUUAUUUGCUGGUACUGCUGACUUUUGUUACUACUAUUGGCUGUUACUAUUUGCUGCUGCUAUCGGCUGUUACUACCGGAUGUUACUACUAGUUGCUGCUAACGGCUGUUAAUUUUGCUUUUUCUGUUUUAGAAUUUGAUGGUCUAAUCUAGAGAGCAAAGUUGACUUUUUUUUUUUAAAAAAAAUAUGGUGUUUAUGGAAUUUUUUUUUUUUUAAGAUACUAUGAAAUUAUAUCAAUUUGAAUUA